UACGAAGGGAGCUAGCGUUGUUCGGAAUCACUGGGCGUAAAGCGCACGUAGGCGGAUGUGUCAGUCAGGGGUGAAAUCCCGGAGCUCAACUUCGGAACUGCCUUUGAUACAGCACGUCUUGAGUCCGAUAGAGGUGGGUGGAAUUCCUAGUGUAGAGGUGAAAUUCGUAGAUAUUAGGAAGAACACCGGUGGCGAAGGCGGCCCACUGGAUCGGUACUGACGCUGAGGUGCGAAAGCGUGGGGAGCAAACAGG
rnacentral:rRNA from 3 species